rnacentral:rRNA from 1 species
AGAGUUGAUCAUGGCUCAGGACGAACGCUGGCGGCGUGCCUAACACAUGCAAGUCGAGCGAGGAGAUCCUCGGGAUGAUCCUAGCGGCGGACGGGUGAGUAACACGUGGGCAACCUGCCUCAUAGAGAGGAAUAGCCUUCCGAAAGGGAGAUUAAUACCUCAUAACAUUGCAGUUUCGCAUUGAACAGCAAUUAAAGGAGCAAUCCGCUAUGAGAUGGGCCCGCGGCGCAUUAGCUAGUUGGUGAGGUAACGGCUCACCAAGGCGACGAUGCGUAGCCGACCUGAGAGGGUGAUCGGCCACAUUGGGACUGAGACACGGCCCAGACUCCUACGGGAGGCAGCAGUGGGGAAUAUUGCACAAUGGGGGAAACCCUGAUGCAAGCAACGCCGCGUGAGUGAUGACGGCCUUCGGGUUGUAAAGCUCUGUCUUCAGGGACGAUAAUGACGGUACCUGAGGAGGAAGCCACGGCUAACUACGUGCCAGCCGCAGC